rnacentral:rRNA from 1 species
GAUGAACGCUGGCGGCGUGCUUAAGACAUGCAAGUCGAACGGGGUGCGGGGAGCAAUCCCGGUGCCCAGUGGCGCAUGGGUGCGUAACACGUAGGUGACCUACCCGGAAGCGGGGAAUAACUCUCCGAAAGGAGGGCUAAUACCGCAUGUGGUCUUGGGAGUUAGAGACCCAGGACCAAAGCCGGCCCGCAAGGGCAGGCACUUCCGGAGGGGCCUGCGGCCCAUCAGCUGGUUGGUCGGGUAAAGGCCGACCAAGGCGAUGACGGGUAGGGGACCUGAGAGGGUGGCCCCCACAUU